ensembl:lncRNA
GGGGACCACAGGCAGGGAGCCAGGCUACCUGGGGUGUAAGAAUGAAAACUGAGUUCUGAGAGGCUACAGCUACUGCUAGGGCUGAGGGGGGCUGAGGAGGGGUGUGGAUAAUUCAGGAAUCCUUGGGAGAGAGGGUCUCCAAAGCCAUCUCGUACAUCCCUCUGUCUCCAAAAAGAACCGAACCCCAACAAUUUGUUUAUUCACAGCAGCCCAAAGGAGAGAAGGAGGUGCAGAAAUGAAAUAUAGUAAUUAAUAAUAGUAGGGCUUUCUGGUGGCUUGGUAGUAAAGAAUGCCAGCCAAUGCAAGAGACACAGGUUCGACCCCUGGUCUGGGAGGAUCCCACAUGCCAAGAAGCAGCUAAACCGGUGCACCACAACUAGUGAGCCUGUGCCCUAGAGCCUGGGAACUGCAACUACGGAGCCCUCAUGCUACAACUACUGAAGUCCGUGUGUUCUAGAGCUCAUGAUCAGCAACAAGAGAAGCCACCACAGUGAGAAUCCCAAGGGCCACAGAGACAAUCCUGCAUGCAACAACAAAGACCCCAGCACAGCUAAAAAAUGAGAAGACUGAAGACUGGAGAGGAGAGGUGACUGGCCCAAGAUCACACAGCAAGAGAAAAGAAGGACCAGAGAAGGGAAACCACAGAAUUUGGAUUGAGCUCUGGUGCAUGCUCACUCCAGGAGAGCAGAUGCUCAGCCACUCUGAGCCCGCCAAGCUCCUCCGUCCAUGGAAUUUUCCAGACAAGAAUGCUGAUGUGGAUUGCCAUUUCCUGCUCCAAGAGCUCUUUUGGACUCAGGGACUGAACCCGCGUCUCCUGUGUCUGCUGCCUUAGCAGCAAUAGGAGCUAUGACUUUAAUCUUCCAAAAAGCUAGGAUCAUCACCCUGCCCAGAGGCUACCUCUUCCAGGAAGCCCACCCGGAUGACCCCAACCAAAUCAGAAAGGCUCUCCUACAUCUCUGAACCUCUCAGUCCUCAGUUUACCCUUCAUGCUGAGCACUCAUCCCCUUAAUCUGACCUUCAUUCCCUUGGGACUGUGUAUAACCAGAGGGCCCCAUCUGAGGCCUGGAGGUCUGCCCC